CAGAAAGAGGAUCAGAAUUGAAAAGAGUUGUAACUGGAGCCCUUUUUGAAAUCCACCUUCAAGGUGAGAGCGUAUUUCAGAAAAUCUAAACUUGAUUAACAGGGAAGGAUGAGCGAACCACGCCCUUCUUGUCCUGGGAGAGCAUCAGAGGCCUGCUGGGGACUGAUUGUAGGGUUGUGACAACGAUGCCAGCAUUCUUUGGAGAUGGCGGCGCCUCAUAAAGCUCUUAAAGAAGUGGAUUCAUAUAUCAGGUACAGAAAGAAGCAGAUGGCAUCUUGUGGCACAGAGGAGAGAGCCUGACUAGGAGCCUGGAGACCUAAGUUCAAGCCUCAACAGAUGACCUUGGGUAAGUCAUUUGCUUUCUCUGCACAUUAGUUCUCUCAUCUGUAAAGAAAGGAUGAUGAUGAUAAUAAUAGUUCUACAUGCCACAACUAGCUCACAAUAUUAUAAUAAAAAUCAACUGAGAUAAGCAUUUUAAAGCCUUCUACAAAGUGCAAGUGCAAGGCAUGGUUGUCUCACUUUGCAGGAAGGUCUCGAGUCCAGUCAGCAGCCUUUGCUGGACUAGCAGAUUUCUGGUGUUGAUUUGUAUGCUUGAAAAGGUGUGGUAGCUGACUGUAGGCAAUGCUACCAUCAAAGCCUGGAGGUGGUCAGAGGAGGCAGGCUUCUCAAAGGGCAGAUGAUGUAAGGCUGAGAGGGCCGACUAUUACAGGAGGGGCAGACGCAGGAGUCCUUUGGAUCUCCAUAACUGGAACGCUCUCUGCCUUUGUCCUACUCUCCUCAAACACACUGGAGACGCUGUAUGCUGUGUGAGCACAGGCUCCCCCCCUCUCAGCUACCUUUCCCUCUCUACUCCUCUUGACCAAGGUGCCUGUGGUAGAUGGUCAGUGCUCACUGAAUGUCCUGUGUUGUGUUGUUAGGUUGAGGCCAACCUGCUACGAGCAGAACUGACACGUGUGGCUUCCACACUGAGGGUGAAGCCUCAGAGAGAAGAAAUGGAAAAACCAUGGCUCUCUGAAGAGAUGGCCUGUGUGGAGCAUGCCUGGAAUGAGAGGAGCAGAGGGCCAGCUCCCACCCUUUCCCCAGCAGGGUCUGGCAAGCCGGCUGUGUCUAGCAUUCCUGUUUCUCCACGGCCAGACACAGUGACUGACACACAAAGUCAGCCAAGGGCCUUGCCCAAGAGAGGUGCCAAACGAACGAAGUUGAGCCUGAUCGCCUCAGGAGAGCAGAACGACUCGUCAACAAGCCAGUCAGGUCUCUAGAAACCCUUCCAUUAUCAAAAGUACUUCCAGAAGAAUGUAAGCUCCAUGAGGACAGAGUUCGGUGUCCAUUUUUUGGUUGUUCAUUCCUCUGUCCCCAGUGC
rnacentral:lncRNA from 1 species